rnacentral:rRNA from 1 species
CCCUAUGGGGUGCACCAGGCACAGCCAUCUGCCACAUCAUCAAUGAUGCCAGGCCGAUCAGUACGAAUGACACUAUGGCAGCAUUUCUGGGGGUGAUCUUGUCCGUCAGCGUUCCAAAUAUAGGUCUGCCACCACCGUUGAAUAUGGCGAAGAAUCCCACCAGCAUGGAAGCCAGUCCAGAUUCAAUCAGGAUUACCUCCUGGCCCACCGGUUUAGAUAUGCCUAUGGCCAUCAAUCCUGCCACACAUCCUAUGAAGUAGCAGAGCCAGAGACCGUAAAAUGUGGUGGACUUGAGCAUCUGUUCGCGCUUGAACUCGCAUGUCACUGCUGCGCCUGGUUUGGGCGCCGGAGGGUUCCAGCCCGCUGGUUUGUAUCCUGCUGGCGGGGGGGC